GUUUGGUUUUACUCCUAGGGAUCCUCAAAAGCGGAGUGGGGGUGUUGAACCUCUGGGAAACCUGAUGCGAUGGCUGUAGCUGUGGUGAUGAAUUGUGUGAUGAGGGCUGUUGCCUGAUUUGCUCUACCAUGCCUGAACUUCUAGCAAGUAAGAAUGGGACCCUUAAAGGCAGAGUGGAGGUGUUGAGCCUCUGGGAAACCUGAUGUGUGAUGGCUGUAGCUGGUGGCGAUGAAUCAUGUGAUGAGGGCUGUUGUCUGGUUUGCUCCACCAUAUGGGCCCCUCUGGCAGGGGAAAAUGGUUGAGAUUUGUCAGAAGUUGUCCUGGGACCUGCUGUGAUUUCAGUCUACCCACCAGAAAGCUGUCUUCUGCUAAUCGUCUUCCUCUCCAUGCUGCUGCCUGUCCCUUGUCCAAGCUACAGCAUUCACAUCGCCCUGCAACAGCUCUGGUCUUCUCAGAGCUAGCAGGAGUAAUAAAUUGGUGUCCUGCCAACA